UACAGAGGGGGCGAGCGUUAUUCGGAAUUACUGGGCGUAAAGGGCUCGUAGGCGGCCAACUAAGUCGGACGUGAAAUCCCUCGGCUUAACCGGGGAACUGCGUCCGAUACUGGAUGGCUUGAGUUCGGGAGAGGGAUGCGGAAUUCCAGGUGUAGCGGUGAAAUGCGUAGAUAUCUGGAGGAACACCGGUGGCGAAGGCGGCAGUCCUGGACCGACACUGACGCUGAGGAGCGAAGCC
rnacentral:rRNA from 1 species